rnacentral:rRNA from 1 species
UGUGGUUUAAUUCGAAGCAACGCGAAGAACCUUACCAGGCCUUGACAUGCAGAGAACUUCCAGAGAUGGAUUGGUGCCUUCGGGAACUCUGACACAGGUGCUGCAUGGCUGUCGUCAGCUCGUGUCGUGAGAUGUUGGGUUUAAGUCCCGUUAACGAGCGCAACCCUUGUCCUUAGUUACCAGCACGUUAUGGUGGGCACUCUAAGGAGACUGCCGGUGACAAACCGGAGGAAGGUGGGGAUGACGUCAAGUCAGCAUGGCCCUUACGUCCGGGGCUACACACGUGCUACAAUGGCCGGUACAAAGGGUUGCGAAGCCGUGAGGUGGAGCGAAUCUCAAAAAGCCGGCCUCAGUUCGGAUUGGAGGCUGCAACUCGCCUCCAUGAAGUCGGAAUCGCUAGUAACCGCAGAUCAGCUACGUUGCGGUGAAUACGUUCCCGGGCCUU